AGUGAACGCUGGCGGUAGGCCUAACACAUGCAAGUCGAACGACAGCACAGUAAGAGCUUGCUCUUACGGGUGGCGAGUGGCGGACGGGUGAGGAAUACAUCGGAAUCUACUUUUUCGUGGGGGAUAACGUAGGGAAACUUACGCUAAUACCGCAUACGACCUACGGGUGAAAGCAGGGGAUCUUCGGGCCUUUCGCGAUUGAAUGAGCCGAUGUCGGAUUAGCUAGUUGGCAGGGUAAAGGCCCACCAAGGCGACGAUCCGUAGCUGGUCUGAGAGGAUGAUCAGCCACACUGGAACUGAGACACGGUCCAGACUCCUACGGGAGGCAGCAGUGGGGAAUCUUGGACAAUGGGCGCAAGCCUGAUCGAGCAAUACCGCGUGGGUGAAGAAGGUCUUCGGGUUGUAAAGCCCUUUUAUUGGGAAAGAAAAGCAGUAGGUUAAUCCAUCGCUGUUCUGACGGUACCCAAAGAAUAAGCACCGGCUAACUUCGUG
rnacentral:rRNA from 1 species